rnacentral:lncRNA from 1 species
CGGGCGCACGCGCACUGUGCCGCUGAGUGUGCGGUGUAGUGGUGAGUACCGCUCGUGUCUUUUACCGAAAAGCGAAAAGUUGUGUUCUGCGUACUGAAAAUAAAUAUAAAAUCAAAGAAUUGUUUGUUGUCAUGUUUGAGGACAUGACUGAACAGGGUUCAACUCCUGUGAGGGAAUGUUAGGAUAUGCUGUUCGUAAUGGGAAGUGACAAAGCAAGCCCCACUUGGAAUAUAGCAAUAGCUUCAUAACAGCAUUUAAGUCUUAGUUUUAAAAAAAAUGUAUUUUUUCACUCGGCCUUCUUGAAGUCCCAUUUUCAAGUACACGUAAGUGAUUGCAGAUGUACUAUGCGCAGCUAACAAUAUAAGUUGAAACAAACAGCUGGGAGUGUGGUCAGCUGCGGACAGAAUGAGUCCACAAGUCCUGAGCCUGCUUCCCUCCCAGCCCGUGCCCGGUUCCCUCCUUCCCCCAAAAGCCGGAGCACUGGGCUGCAAGAAUGCACUACAAAUAAGUGAUAAAGAAUCACAGAUCCAUUAAGAUUGGAAAAGACCUCUCACAUCCCCAGGUCCAACCCCAUCCCACCACUCCACACUGACCCACCCCACUCCCCCAGCCGCUCCCCCAGCGCUGUGCUCAGACCCCUCACAGCUCCGCUCCCUUCCCUGGACACACUCCAGGGCCUCCAUGUCUUUCCUGCAUCAAGGGUCCCAGCGCUCAGCACAGCACUGAGGCGCAUCCCCACCAGUGUGGUACAGACAGAAACGAGCAGAAAUGAGUUCAUCCCACAUUCCACUCAAGGAUCAGAUCUGAGUCUCAAUAGAGCAGAGUUGAUUUGUCUUUCCAGGCUGGCUUGCAGGUUUGCCUGCAGCGCAAUGAGUCCAGCAUGCAGGCAGUGCUGCUGGAGUUCAGGAGUAGAAGUGGGCUGCCUGUUCCAUGCUAUCUGCCUGAAGAAUGACCAGAGCUGCUCCAAAAGCAAUGCCAUCUAAUUUAAGAUAUUGUCCCAUAACAUCAGAAGCAGAUGUUGAUAGUAUGGCAGUAGAGGUUGAAUCUUCC